UACGAAGGGGGCUAGCGUUGCUCGGAAUCACUGGGCGUAAAGCGCACGUAGGCGGCUUUUUAAGUCAGGGGUGAAAUCCUGGAGCUCAACUCCAGAACUGCCUUUAAUACUGAGAGCUUGAGUCCGGGAGAGGUGAGUGGAACUGCGAGUGUAGAGGUGAAAUCGUAGAUAUUCGCAAGAACACCAGUGGCGAAGGCGGCUCACUGGCCCGGUACUGACGCUGAGGUGCGAAAGCGUGGGGAGCAAACAGG
rnacentral:rRNA from 1 species